GUCUAUGGCCAUGCCACCCUGAACAUGCUCGAUCCCUUCUGAUCUCAAAAGCUAAGCAGGUUUGGGCCCGGUUAGUACUUGGAUGGGAGACCACCUAGGAAGACUGGGUGCUGUAGGCU
rfam:Pteropus alecto contig14813, whole genome shotgun sequence.